GCCGCGCCCCCCCCCUCAAAAAAAAAAAAAAGUUGAGACACUCCCCUCCAUCCGCUGAGCACGGAGGCGUUGGAGUCGCUGCCGCGUCUGGCUCCUCCCCUGCAAAAAAAGUCUAGGCCAUGUGUAGCUUCGGCACCUGGUGAUUCUUACGGUGAGGCCUUCCCCUGCCUCCGGCUUGCACAGAGGUGUGGCGGGGGGCUCUGCCCACCCCCCCCCUCCGCCUCCAACCGACCGUGCAUCGGCGCGGAGGCUCGGCUUCCACGAGCCUCUCCUCCAGCAAAACACGAAAGUUGCGUGCGUAGGUGUUCAGUAAUAGUGAAAUUUGAGUUGCUUGCAGGCCGCCUGAGUUUGCACGCUUGUCUGAUGAGGACACAGUGACUUGUGAUCUGCAUUGUCAGUCACGUCGAAAAAGUGCAUAAAGCUUGUGCUUCAUUUCAGGAUGACGUCUCCCAAGAUGGGUCCCCUUUGUGACGUGAUGUUGGCUGGAAAUCAAGGUGCUAAUGAAGAAAGAGGAACCUCUUGCAUAUCUUUUCCUUCCCCACCCCUGCCAACGUACACAUUGCAACAGUCCCUUGACACUUAAUGAGCUUUUUGUCCUUAUGUUUGAAUUUUUUUUUUAAUGAGGCUAAUGCCAAAACCCUUUUUUGUUGGUGAUGCUAAGACCUGAGAGCUGUAAAUGGUAUUGCCUGUUGCUAAAGUGUAUUAUAUUGAUAUCUUUUGUUAUUCAUUACUGCUGACCUCUAAUAUGGAAGGAUCAAUAUGCUGCUGCCAGAUAUUCACCCACAGAUCUUCUAUGUGAUUAAAUAAGCUCCCAUGAAACUUACAAACUUGCCAAUCUGUUAAAAGGUCUCCCUUCUGGUAAAAAAAAUAAAGUGAAAGUUAAAAGAUAUGCUUAA